GCUUCCGUGGCUCAGUUGGUAGAGCGACGCAUUCGUAAUGCGUAGGUCGACGGUUCGAGUCCGUCCGGGAGCU
rnacentral:tRNA from 1 species